UGUAAUAUCAUAAAUGUAUUCAUGCGAGU
rnacentral:sRNA from 1 species